rnacentral:lncRNA from 1 species
UUAGCAAAUGUAUGCAACGUUUGAGAGGAACGUUGGCCAGUGGUUUAUGGUCCCCUCAGACAGGCAAGAAGAAAGGCCCGCUGUCCGCUCUCAGCUUUUUCCGCAGUCUCGUGGUCCAGAAGAUAGACCUUCUGACGGCCGAUAUUGAUAUGGGCAAUGAGGAACCGGGGGACCCUUUAAAAGGAUGCCACUCAGGAAAGAUACAAGGAGUCUGCUCUGACAAGUCAUCCCACAAAACACCAACUCCAUCUUUGGCACCACCAGCAUAUCCCAUAAAAGAUCAAGGGCUGCAUGAUGCAGGUCAAAAACAGGAAUCAACUCAGGAGUUGGUAAUUUCUCAAAGACAUACAUCGGGGACCUCUUCAAAGCGCAGGAGCCAGAAGCCUCCACCUUACCCCUACGCCAGCACAAUGGGAAGAGUGAAUCCUAAAGCAAAAGACAAAGGUCAGAAGAUGCCACCAUACCCAUUUAGACGGAGACUGCUCUCAACCAUUGUUUGA